rnacentral:rRNA from 1 species
GACGAACGCUGGCGGCGUGCCUAAUACAUGCCAGUAGAACGCUGAAGGAGGAGCUUGCUUCUCUGGAUGAGUUGCGAACGGGUGAGUAACGCGUAGGUAACCUGCCUGGUAGCGGGGGAUAACUAUUGGAAACGAUAGCUAAUACCGCAUAAGAGUAGAUGCUGCAUGACAUUUACUUAAAAGGUGCAAUUGCAUCACUACCAGAUGGACCUGCGUUGUAUUAGCUAGUUGGUGAGGUAACGGCUCACCAAGGCAACGAUACAUAGCCGACCUGAGAGGGUGAUCGGCCACACUGGGACUGAGACACGGCCCAGACUCCUACGGGAGGCAGCAGUAGGGAAUCUUCGGCAAUGGACGGAAGUCUGACCGAGCAACGCCGCGUGAGUGAAGAAGGUUUUCGGAUCGUAAAGCUCUGUUGUAAGAGAAGAACGAGUGUGAGAGUGGAAAGUUCACACUGUGACGGUAUCUUACCAGAAAGGGACGGCUAACUACGUG